rnacentral:rRNA from 1 species
CAGCCGUAAACUAUGCGCGUUAGGUGUACUGGUGACCACGAGUCACCGGGGUGCCGAAGGGAAACCGUGAAACGUGCCGCCUGGGAAGUACGGUCGCAAGGCUGAAACUUAAAGGAAUUGGCGGGGGAGCCACCACAACGGGUGGAGCCUGCGGUUUAAUUGGACUCAACGCCGGAAAUCUCACCGGAUAGGACAGACAUAUGAUAGUCGGGCUGAAGACUCUACUUGAUGAUCUGAGAGGUGGUGCAUGGCGUCAGUGA